CCUACGGGUGGCAGCAGUGAGGAAUAUUGGUCAAUGGGCGCGAGCCUGAACCAGCCAAGUCGCGUGAGGGAGGACGGCCCUACGGGUUGUAAACCUCUUUUGCCGGGGAGCAACGGGCGCCACGUGUGGCGUCACUGAGAGUACCCGGAGAAAAAGCAUCGGCUAACUCCGUGCCAGCAGCCGCGGUAAUACGGAGGAUGCGAGCGUUAUCCGGAUUUAUUGGGUUUAAAGGGUGCGUAGGCGGUCCGGACAGUCAGCGGUAAAAGCCCGGGGCUCAACCCCGGCGAGCCGUUGAAACUGUCGGACUAGAGACGGCGAGAAGUACGCGGAAUGCGCGGUGUAGCGGUGAAAUGCAUAGAUAUCGCGCAGAACUCCGAUUGCGAAGGCAGCGUACCGGCGCCGGACUGACGCUGAGGCACGAAAGCGUGGGUAUCGAACAGGAUUAGAUACCCUUGUAGUC
rnacentral:rRNA from 1 species